rnacentral:rRNA from 1 species
UACGUAGGUGGCAAGCGUUAUCCGGAAUUACUGGGCGUAAAGCGCACGCAGGCGGUCUUUUAAGUCUGUCGUGAAAUCCCCGGGCUCAACCUGGGAAUGGCGAUGGAUACUGGCGAGCUAGAGUGUGUCAGAGGAUGGUGGAAUUCCCGGUGUAGCGGUGAAAUGCGUAGAGAUCGGGAGGAACAUCAGUGGCGAAGGCAGCCCCCUGGGAUGAUACUGACGCUCAUGCACGAAAGCGUGGGGAGCAAACAGG